GUAACACUAAUUUUGAUAGAUCAGCUCAUUGACUACCAUAAGUUGUUCCAUGUCGAUAUGCUCAGAUGUCUGUGGAAAAAGUUAUUCGAGAUACAAAGACUUAACAUUUUCUCGGUUUUUCUAAAAAAAUCCUCAUUUUUCCACUUUGCAUGCUCAUAACUCGGUCAGUUUUCGACGGAUCUUCAGUUGUAACACAGAUUUGGAUAGAUCAGCUCAUUAGCUACCAUAAGUUGUUCCAUGCCGAUAUGCUCAGAUGUCUGUGGAAAAAGUUAUUCGAGAUACAAAGACUUAACAUUUUCUCGGUUUUUCUAAAAAAAUCCUCAUUUUGCCACUUUGCAUGCUCAUAACUCGGUCAGUUUUCGACGGAUCUUCAGUUGUAACACAGAUUUGGAUAGAUCAGCUCAUUGACUACCAUAAGUUGUUCCAUGUCGAUAUGCUCAGAUGUCUGUGGAAAAAGUUAUUCGAGAUACAAAGACUUAACAUUUUCUCGGUUUUUCUAAAAAAAUCCUCAUUUUGCCACUUUGCAUGCUCAUAACUCGGUCAGUUUUCGACGGAUCUUCAAUUGUAACACUAAUUUUGAUAGAUCAGCUCAUUGACUACCAUAAGUUGUUCCAUGUCGAUAUGCUCAGAUGUCUGUGGAAAAAGUUAUUCGAGAUACAAAGACUUAACAUUUUCUCGGUUUUUCUAAAAAAUUCCUCAUUUUGCCACUUUGCAUGCUCAUAACUCGGUCAGUUUUCGACGGAUCUUCAAUUGUAACACAGAUUUGGAUAGAUCAGCUCAUUAGCUACCAUAAGUUGUUCCAUGCCGAUAUGCUCAGAUGUCUGUGGAAAAAGUUAUUCGAGAUACAAAGACUUAACAUUUUCUCGGUUUUUAAAAAAAAAUCCUUAUUUUGCUACUUUGCAUGCUCAUAACUCGGUCAGUUUUCGACGGAUCUUCAGUUGUAACACAGAUUUGGAUAGAUCAGCUCAUUGGCUACCAUAAAUUGUUCCAUGCCGAUAUGCACAGAUGUCUGUGGAAAAAGUUAUUCGAGAUACAAAGACUUAACAUUUUCUCGGUUUUUCUAAAAAAAUCCUCAUUUUGCCACUUUGCAUGCUCAUAACUCGGUCAGUUUUCGACGGAUCUUCAGUUGUAACACAGAUUUGGAUAGAUCAGCUCAUUGACUACCAUAAGUUGUUCCAUGUCGAUAUGCUCAGAUGUCUGUGGAAAAAGUUAUUCGAGAUACAAAGACUUAACAUUUUCUCGGUUUUUCUAAAAAAAUCCUCAUUUUGCCACUUUGCAUGCUCAUAACUCGGUCAGUUUUCGACGGAUCUUCAGUUGUAACACAGAUUUGGAUAGAUCAGCUCAUUGACUACCAUAAGUUGUUCCAUGUCGAUAUGCUCAGAUGUCUGUGGAAAAAGUUAUUCGAGAUACAAAGACUUAACAUUUUCUCGGUUUUUCUAAAAAAAUCCUCAUUUUGCCACUUUGCAUGCUCAUAACUCGGUCAGUUUUCGACGGAUCUUCAAUUGUAACACUAAUUUUGAUAGAUCAGCUCAUUGACUACCAUAAGUUGUUCCAUGUCGAUAUGCUCAGAUGUCUGUGGAAAAAGUUAUUCGAGAUACAAAGACUUAACAUUUUCUCGGUUUUUCUAAAAAAUUCCUCAUUUUGCCACUUUGCAUGCUCAUAACUCGGUCAGUUUUCGACGGAUCUUCAAUUGUAACACAGAUUUGGAUAGAUCAGCUCAUUAGCUACCAUAAGUUGUUCCAUGCCGAUAUGCUCAGAUGUCUGUGGAAAAAGUUAUUCGAGAUACAAAGACUUAACAUUUUCUCGGUUUUUCAAAAAAAAUCCUCAUUUUGCUACUUUGCAUGCUCAUAACUCGGUCAGUUUUCAACGGCUCUUCAAUUGUAACACAGAUUUGGAUAGAUCUGCUUAUUGGCUACCAUAAGUUGUUCCAUGUCGAUGUGCUCAGAUGUCUGUGGAAAAAGUUAUUCGAGAUACAAAGACUUAACAUUUUCUCGGUUUUUCCAAAAAAAUCCUCAUUUUGCUACUUUGCAUGCUCAUAACUCGGUCAGUUUUCGACGGAUCUUCAAUUGUAACACAGAUUUGGAUAGAUCUGUUCAUUAGCUACCAUAAGUUGUUUCACGUCGAUGUGCUCAGAUGUCUGUGGAAAAAGUUAUUCGAGAUAGAAAGACUUAACAUUUUCUCGGUUUUUCUUAAAAAUUCCUCAUUUUGCUACUUUGCAUGCUCAUAACUCGGUCAGUUUUCGACAAAUCUUCAACUGUAAAACAGAUUUUGAUAGAUCAGCUCAUUGGCUACCAUAAGUUGUUUAACGUCGAUGUGCUCAGAUGUCUGUGGAAAAAGUUAUUCGAGAUAGAAAGACUUAACAUUUUCUCGGUUUUUACAAAAAAUUCCUCAUUUUGCUACUUUGCAUGCUCAUAACUCGGUCAGUUUUCGACGGAUCUUCAGUUGUAACACAGAUUUGGAUAAAUCUGCUCAUUGGCUACCAUAAGUUGUUUCACGUCGAUGUGCUCAGAUGUCUGUGGAAAAAGUUAUUCGAGAUACAAAGACUUAACAUUUUCUCGGUUUUUCUAAAAAAUUCCUCAUUUUGCCAAUUUGCAUGCUCAUAACUCGGUCAGUUUUCGACGGAUCUUUAGUUGUAACACAGAUUUGGAUAGAUCAGCUCAUUGGCUACCAUAAGUUGUUCCAUGUCGAUAUGCUCAGAUGUCUGUGGAAAAAGUUAUUCGAGAUACAAAGACUUAACAUUUUCUCG